ACGUGUUUGGGGGAGUUCCGGUUGGAGCCAAACUCAUCCUCAGAGGUAGAGGCAUAUUCAGGAGGCAGCCGUCUCCACCGGUUAUUGGCUGAAAGGAGAGAGAGGUUUGCCUGCUGUUUCAGCAAUGGGCUCUGAAGGUUUUUUCACUUUGGCUUUGUCUGGAGAAGACUUGGGGGAUUUUAAGGGCUCUGCACAGGUGGGCUUCUUGCCCAGUUGAAGUUGGCUGGUGAACUUCUCAUGCUGACAGAAAGGAGGGAGAAGAACACAGCUUCCUAGAUCCUUCACUUUGUGCUCGUCACUGCUGGACUCAUAGUUGAUGACAGCGUGCUGCUUGUCUACACUACGAGACUGCAAUAACAGACAGGUAAAAAAGCAGGAGUUACUACCCUGAGACAGUUUGCGCUGAGCAUUAUCACUUCAUAGAUUUGUUAUUAUUAGAAGCUAGUUUAUAUGCAGUCACAGAAGUAUUUUACCUUGUAGCAAUGAUAGAAUUUGAAGGUGACAUAUCUCACGUUUGAAACAUACCAGACAUCGAAAGAGAAACGUUCUCUCACACAAGUAUUACAGAUUGGUUGUAGCCUCAAGUGAAGUCACAUCACAUUAGCGAAAUUUUGUGGACAAAAAAGUUCCAUUGUCUAUUGUCAAUAGCAUAGAGAUGUAUGCAGCAAAACCCACAAAGAACUCACUUUCAA